rnacentral:rRNA from 1 species
AAGGUUUCCGUAGGUGAACCUGCGGAAGGAUUAUUG